rnacentral:rRNA from 1 species
GUCCACGCCGUAAACGAUGGGUACUAGGUGUCUGGGGAGCGACCCCCUGGGUGCCGGCGCUAACGCAUGAAGUACCCCGCCUGGGGAGUACGGCCGCAAGGCUGAAACUCAAAGGAAUUGACGGGGCCCGCACAAGCGGUGGAGCAUGUGGUUUAAUUCGACGCAACGCGAAGAACCUUACCUGGGCUUGACAUGCUGGAGAAAGCUCGCAGAAACGUGGGCCCCCUCUUCGGAGUUCCAGCACAGAUGCUGCAUGGCUGUCGU